AUUUUAUUGAUUUUUGUCCUGCCAAGACUUUCUAUUAUUUUGACUUAUUUGAAUUUCAUUAUCUGAACUCUGUUCACUGAAUUUGGUUACUUAAAUCACGGCUGAUAUUUGAUGUGACCGGUGGCUUUGUAUGGCUGGCUGGUGUUAUUUGGGGGUGAUUUUAGUUAUAAUGGGAGACAGGGCACAUUAGUUAUAUAUGUGCUCAUGAACUGAUUAGGAUUAGAAUAGUAGAGUCUUUGCUAAUUUAUGCGUUUUUAUUCUCUGUACUAUUAUAAUCGUCCUUACGUAUAUUGGGACUAAAUUGAAUAAUGAUGCUUCCUUUUCUUCUCAGUGAAAACACAUACCAAAGCAACAAAGCUAUGGUGGUGGGAAUAAUCGUUCUCAGGACAUGUGGAUGAUCAUACAAAAUGAAGGAAUUUUGGAGUAAUUCUGGAUUCGUGAGUCUUUGAAGAUAAUUGUGUCAAAAUUCCAUAAUUUAAUUCUAAGCCAUUUGAUCGUGGCAAAUAAAAGAAUAUUGACUGCA